UACGUAGGAGGCGAGCGUUGUCCGGAGUUACUGGGCGUAAAGGGUGCGCAGGCGGGUCUCUUGGUUUGCGGUGAAAGCUCCUGGCUCAACUGGGAGAGGGCCGUGAAGACGGGAGGCCUUGAGGCUCGGAGAGGGACGUGGAAUUCCGGGUGGAGCGGUGAAAUGCGUAGAGAUCCGGAAGAACACCAAGGGCGAAGGCAGCGUCCUGGCCGAGGCCUGACGCUCAGGCACGAAAGCGCGGGGAGCAAACAGG
rnacentral:rRNA from 1 species